GGACAGAAAGACCCUAUGAAGCUUUACUGUAGUUUGGAAUUGGGUUCGGGCUCUUCUUGCGCAGCCUAGGUGGGAGGCUAUGAAGAUAAACUUUUGGGUUUAUUGGAGCCAACAGUGAGAGACCACUCUAGAGGAGCUAGAAUUCUAAUGGCGUUCCUUGAAGCAGGACGCUUGACAGUUUCAGAUGGGCAGUUUGACUGGGGCGGUCACCUCCUAAAAGGUAACGGAGGUGUGCAAAGGUUCCCUCAGGCUGGACGGAAAUCAGCCGUAGAGUGUAAAGGCUGAAGGGAGCUUGACUGCAAGACCUACAAGUCGAGCAGGGGCGAAAGCCGGCCUUAGUGAUCCGACGGUUCCGAGUGGAAGGGCCGUCGCUAAACGGAUAAAGGUUACUCUAGGGAUAACAGGCUGA
rnacentral:rRNA from 1 species